CUCACUCCCACGCUCGCGCGCGGCCGCCUGCUCCCCACGCCGCCGCUUCCGUUCGCCCUCGCCGCCGCCUCCGCCUCCGCUCGCCCUCGCCGCCGCCUCCGCUGCCCUCGCCGCCGCCACGGCCACCACCGCGCUCAUGUCCCCCCUCGUCCCCGUCCAUCUCCAAUCAUCGAGCUGGUCGCCGCCGCGCUGCUCUCCCGCCUCGACGUGCCGGUCUGGCAGAGCUCGGCGUCCCAGCGGACCGCGGCUUCAGCUCCGAGGACGCAGCGGCGCGGCUGCAAAUGUACGGGCCCAACAAGCUGGAGCGGCCCGAGUGUCCAAUCUCAACCAUCACCCGGAACCCUAGCCCCUCCCCCCUCCCCAUGGCGCAGGAUGCCCUCCAAGAGGAGCGUCUGAUGCGGAGGCCAUGGAGUAGCUGCUUGGUUCAAGGGCAUGCCUUGGCUGCUCCCUAUGUUGAGCGCGUGGAUUCAACGCUGGGUAUAUGAUUGUGAUAUAAUAUUGCGCGGAAGAAAAGCCACUGUUGCUCUUACAGUUUUAGGAGGAAGCUUUGGGCGGAGGAGUUGAGUGCAGCUUUUAUAUCUUUUUUCAAAGUCCUAAAUGGUAUGGCGAAAAUCUUGAUAUGUACAGUUUCAAAGCUUCAUCACAUUAUAGUAGGACAAAUUGAUAUGUAGGCUGUCAAAAGCUUCAUUUUUGUUCAUUAGAUAGUUUUUUAUAUCUUUGUCACCAAAGGUAGGUUUCACAGAGGGGAUGCUUCUUGUGACAAUUAUAUAUGACCAUGGGUCCAUGACAAAAUGAUCAUAGCUCAUAUUACUAGGAUUAGGGCACUUCGACCAUUUUUAUAAAACAUGCGCUGCACCUCCAGUUUCAUGGCGUGUUUCAGCCAUAAUUCCGUUGUAGGUUUGCAUGUGUAGAUAAAUAAAUAGAACUCUUGCUGUCAACGUGUGUGUUUCACGAGCCUUUCUUGUUUAAGAGAAAUAAAUCUAAUUUGUAUCGGCCAUAAUUCUGCUAUAUGGAAACAAUCGGUGGCUAUUUCUUUUUUAUCUGAACUGAGCCAUAAUUCUGCUGUAUGUAAACAAUCAGUGGUUCUUUUUAUUUUAUCUGAACUGAGUAAUAACUCUAAUCUAUAACUCAUGAUGGCGGUCAGUUUUUUUCACUUUCUUAGCAUCAUGCUUACCUGAAACUUGCGCCUAAACUGGUAUUGGUUUCAUAUGUGCUAUAGAUAAUCCACCCUCCUACUUCUGUACAAAUUUAUACUUUUAUAUUGAAAUUCUUAAGUGAUUUUCUAUGAUAUGAUAUAAGGAAAUAGUCACCUACAAAUAUACUAAUCUACUGCUUUACCUUGCUGCUUUCCACAAAGUUUAUGCUUUUAUAUUUCAGAAAUUAGAGUAUAUGAAGCAGGAAAUAUAAUGUUGGUCCGUAGAGCCUUACUUCUUCAUCAGUUCACUGGUAAUUCUACCUCCCUGUAUGUAUGGUAAUACACAUUAUAUCAUUUGCUGGGUCAUACUUAAUACAUGACACGAUGAAGGAUUUAUAUCAAACAAAUUAAUUUGUGUGUUCUCCAUCUUCUGCGACUUCCACAAUUUAUAGUUGCUUGAUCAUUUAAUUUUCUUUUGGACAAACAAGUUCUCCCUCCUUUAAGUAAUUUUGUAUCAACAUGGCGCGUGUUUGUAUGAUGCAUGGUUGCAUUUAUUGAAGUAGUACAUGAUCUGGUCUUCUACUAAUUGUUGUCUUAAAUAGCUAAUUGUUUUUUUGUUCUGCUAUAUGAUAUAUUCAAGUUUUUUAUAUAUUCAAGUUUUUGGACAAGUUCUCGCUGGUUGUUCCUGUUCAUGACAUUAAAUCCUUGAAGCAUGAUAUUGUAAUUGAUGUAGUUCUUCCUUGAGCCAGGUGUGAUUAUUUCCAGUAUUGCAAGGGAAUAACAACAUUUAGUGCAUAUGUAUCUUGUGAUCGUGGAAAUAGGAAAUAGAAGCCGAUUAUGAGCCAUGCACUUUGUGAUUACUCUCUAAACUCUGCACUUCGUGAUUACUCGCUCAGUGUUACUCUCACUAAUCCAAUUAUGAUAUCCAUGUUCUGAUAAUGUUUUGUACACACCCAAUUGACAACAUAGCUUGCCUUGCAAGAUAUCUAAUCAACUUACCAUAAGACUAUGUCAUUACUAAGAUAAAGUGAUGAAUGCAUUCGAAUCCUUAAAAAAAUGAACUGUCAUAUAUUCUUUGAACACGCCGUCGCCGUCGCAACCAGCCGCCUUGGGCGAUGCCGACGAGCUCCAAUGGCUUAACGCCACCAACGCGCUUCGGUGGAUCGAUCCGGCACCAGGAACCGUGAGCACUAGGCCCACCUACCCCGCCGCCGGCGCCGCCUCCUCGCAAGACCCGACCAUGGUUGGACAAGACAAAGUUUCAUGUCAUUGGGGCAAUCUUAUUUACGGCCCAGCAAGGUGUUCUGCAUCCAACAGCUGUUGUGAAGACUAGAAUGCAGAGGAUUUGGCACCAGUGCAGUUGGAGCUCUGCUCACCGUCUACUGGGUGAACCGGGGCCCUGCCACUUCCGCCACAAGGACUGGGCUAGGGUCGAGGAGGACAGCAGGAGGGCGCUCUUGCUCGACGACACCUCCAUCAAGGGACACUAUUUGCUAGGAUGCGCGCUGCUCUUGGAGGGGGACUGCGCUCUCACCGUCAAGGAAUUCGACAAGGUGUUUGAUCACUUGAAGUCCUCAAAUUCAAGGGACAAAUGUCAGAGGACAUUUGACAGUUUCUUGCCAAAGCGAAGUACCAAGACUGGGAAAAGCACUCUACUCAGCGAGUUUGGAAGAUGCAAAGUUUAAGGGAAGCAUGUGAAAAUGCUCUGCCACGCCUCCACCUUCUCCUUCGCCCUUCACCACCGAGCCCCCUGAUCCAUCACACUCGCCACGCCCUUUGUGCAAAGGCUUCCAGCCCAAUGUGCCGAUUGCGGCCGUUCUUGAGGCUGCUAACCGACAGCUGUUGAUCCCACUGCUCCCCAGUGCAGAAGAUUUCCAUGGCGUGGCAGCUCCAAGGCACACCUGACCUCCUCCUUUUGGUGAUGUUUAUCAGUUAGUGAGAUUUCUGCACCUACACACUAUGACGCAGAUUAUCAACGCAGAAGAAUGUUCGCGGGAAGAUCGAACAAGAAGAGUCCCUCCCCGCACGAUGAUGGGCGAAGGAGGUGCGCGUCUCCGGCGAGUUCAUCGUGCCUCCCUCCAGUUCCAUGCUGGACGACGGCGAGUUGGCCACCGGUUGACGGUCGAGCCGCAAUCUUAAUUUGGAGUGUGUGCUUUCGUUGGUGCCGUCGCUCUCUCCUCCAUGAACGUCGUCGUCAUGAGCCCAAGUAUCUUGGCUGGGUAUCGACAUUUUGGUGCAACUAGUUAUUGCAGAGCAGACGAGUACUGAAAGCAGCAGCGUGAUGUGGCAGAGAAGGUGGAUUGUAGCAGCAGCGUGAAAGUAUGUACUCCCUCCGUAAACUAAUAUAAGAACGUUUAGAAUGCUAAAAUAGUUAUCUAAACACUCUUAUAUUAGUUUACAGAGGAGUAUAUAACAAUUUGCCUAAAAAAGAGAAUGUCUAGAACUGAAAAGAGUUCUAACAUUUUGCUUUAUGUAACAUUGCACUACAUUCGAGAAUAACGAUGGAUUUGGUUACAAAUACUCUGCUGAUUACUAUGUGUAUGUGCUAUACAAAAGUAAUGAUUGGUUAUACUAAAAAUAGGAGCUAAUUUCUUCGUUAUUCACUCACCCGUUGCAGUGUAGGUAAUAUAUAUUGUAAAUAAAUUACCGUGAACCUUUGCACUUUUGUUGUAACAUACUAAA